GACGAACGCUGGCGGCGUGCUUAACACAUGCAAGUCGAACGGAAAGGCCCUGCUUUUGUGGGGUGCUCGAGUGGCGAACGGGUGAGUAACACGUGAGUAACCUGCCCUUGACUUUGGGAUAACUUCAGGAAACUGGGGCUAAUACCGGAUAGGAGCUCCUGCUGCAUGGUGGGGGUUGGAAAGUUUCGGCGGUUGGGGAUGGACUCGCGGCUUAUCAGCUUGUUGGUGGGGUAGUGGCUUACCAAGGCUUUGACGGGUAGCCGGCCUGAGAGGGUGACCGGCCACAUUGGUACUGAGAUACGGCCCAGACUCCUACGGGAGGCAGCAGUGGGGAAUAUUGCACAAUGAGCGGAAGCCUGAGGCAGCAACGCCGCGUGCGUGAUGACGGCCUUCGGGUUGUAAACCGCUUUCGCCUGUGACGAAGCGUGAUUGACGGUAAUGGGUAAAGAAGCACCGGCUAACUACGUG
rnacentral:rRNA from 1 species